rnacentral:tRNA from 1 species
UGGGAGGUCGUUCAAUGGUAGGACACACGGCUCUGGACCGUGGAAUCGGGGUUCGAAUCCCUGCCUCCCAGCCA